rnacentral:rRNA from 1 species
UACAGAGGUCUCAAGCGUUGUUCGGAUUCAUUGGGCGUAAAGGGUGCGUAGGUGGCGCCGUAAGUCAGGUGUGAAAUCUCGGGGCUCAACCCCGAAACUGCACUUGAUACUGCGGUGCUCGAGUACUGGAGAGGAGAUUGGAAUUUACGGUGUAGCAGUGAAAUGCGUAGAUAUCGUAAGGAAGACCAGUGGCGAAGGCGAAUCUCUGGACAGU